ACAGAUAUUUGAUCACCCCCAUUCCAAGUCAAUAGAAAGUCAAAAUUCUGGAGGAAGGAUGCCAUGAAAUUGACCAUUGGAACAGGAAGGGCUACAUACACUUCUACCUUAACAGGUGUAGUAAGCAAAAUCAUACGAAAAGAAAAGGGGGGAUAUGAAAUAACCAUAGUGGAUGCAUCGGAUGGACGUCAAGUGGUUGAUAUUCUCCCGGAAGGACCAGAACUUCUUGUUUCAGAAGGGGAAUCUAUCAAACUUGAUCACUUCCUCUUCGUCGGUUUGCCCGAGCAGAGAGUUCUAGUGAUGCGCCGUCUACUCGUUCUUACUUCAACGAUUGGGAGGAUUUUCUUCAACACGGGCGGAUCGUAGUUCCAUCGAACAUGUCUCGCCAGAAGGCAUCUAUGUUGAAAUCCAGCAGCUGUUAUUUUCUUCUUUUCCGGAAGGACUUCAGAUAAAUUGAAGGAAUUAGCCGGGGAUACAGUCGAUCAAAGUUUGGGGAGGUGACGCUCACUGUUUGUCUUUCCUUGGUGGGAAAUUUUUUGAAAAAAGCCAUGAAGUUGAUUGUUCUCUUGCUUAAUUCUACUCUUUAAACCUUGUAGCAUAUUUCCCAAAAGAUCAUGCAAAUUGACCUACCAUUCUGCACCGCUACAUUCUUUCAAUGUCUGAAAUAUAUUCUUCAAACCAUAUUCUCCUACUUAAUUCUAUUAUUUAAACCUUGUAGCAUAUUUCAGAGAAGAUGAAAAAAAUAAAUGACAUUCAAUUUUCCUUAAGUAAAUAUUGUCAGAAUGUUUGUAAUCAAUUUGGGAAAACCUUUUUGAGUUUAUUAUCUUCCAAAAACUUUCAGCUCCAAUGUUUAUAGGUCAUAUUCUUUUGACCACUUUCCAGGAAAGUUUCCACCAAAAUCAAUGUAGCCUGAGAUAACCAACUAAUAUAUAAUCCACAAAAACCAUUACUUGUCCCAAGAAUGGAAAACAGAGUGAAUUAUGUUACAACAAAUCCAAUUAAUGGAGGCAUUAGUUAUCCUCCACAAAAUCUCUUUUCAUGUUGGUCAUACCCAAAGACUUAUAUUCUACAAAGCUCUCUUAGUUUCUACUGUUGUUGUGUUAUAUCCUCCCCACAAUCUGCACCCUUGGGGAACUCUCUUCACCGAAUCCACAACUUCAGAACUAAGGUACAACAAUAACAGAUAGAUUCAUAUAAUCAACUAAUCACAAUUGGAUUAAGUCAUAUCAAUUCAUUCAGAUGGAGAUCAUGCGUUACAUUUUCCAAGGCACCAAACAAGAAGAAAUUCCAGAUUUUCAAUAACUUUCUAUUGACUUGUUCCAACUACAAAUAACUUCUGGCUUUGUGAUAAAAAUCUAUUUUCUAAAUAAAUUCCUAAAAUAAACCAAUAUCAGUAAAACAAAAUUACAAUCAAAAUCACAUUAAAAGGAACUGAAGCACACGAAAGACAAAAAAAAAGUUGAAAACUAUGCAGAAAAAAUAAUAAAAGAUAAAUAAAAUACCAUGUUGUGAGCCCGGGUUUGUUCAUGGUGGACUUGAGAAUGCCAGAAGGCUUUGAGCCUAUCGAGAGAAAUCAAGUUGUCCGCCAUUGCUGCUCUGAAGAAGAAGAGAUUUUUUAGACUAGAAGGGGGAUUGGGGUUUAGGGUUUUAUUGUUGAAAGCAAGGCGGAUCCUUUUUCAACUGUAAUUAACACGUGGAAAGAAUCAUUAGGGUGAAACACAUUUAUUAUACCAUUUUCCUUUUUAUUUUCAAAGGGGAAAUAAAUAAAAACCAUUGAAAACCAAUCCAUGAUCCUCUCUGUCCUUUCUUUUCAGCACUUUCAAGAAUCAAGGCCUCUUUUUCGAGCAAAAGCUGAAAGUUUGAACCCUCAAAACAGAAGACUUCGAAAAGAAAAGAAGAACAUGGAAGCCACAGCCGUUUGUAGCAGUAAAGGAAGUCCAUUUCUCUGUUCCUCUAGGAUUACAACAAAGCCCAAAACACAAAUUUCUGCUACUUUCUCACCUUUUCUCAUUCAAUCCAUGGCAACAGAGAAACCAUUGCCUUCGGUUGCCAAAACUGUUGGCUCUAGAAAUGUCAGUCCAUUUUCAAUUCAACCCCAUAUGGAUUUUUGGUAUUACUGUUCAGUGGCUUUUCUCUUGAUGUUUCAAUGUCUUAAUUUGAGUUUCAAAAAGUGAUUGUUUUGCUCACUUUGUUCAGUAAUGCCUCAACAAGUUAUGACUAUUGUCAAACAUCAAUAACAGAGCUUCUAACUUGAUAUGCCAUCGUAAGAAUACAGAGCUCGAACACAACUGUUUUCCCGCUUGGCCAACAAACCAAGGAAUAGCACUGUGGUCAUAUAACCAGUGAAGCUACUGACAAAUGUGGAGAAACUGAAACUGCUAACCAAAGCUGAGAAAGCUGGCCUACUAUAAGCGGCCGAGAAGUUUGGGCUAUCUCUGUCGUCAAUAGAGAAAGUAGGUCUCCUCUCUAAGGCGUUAGAGUUUGGAGUCCUGUCCGCUGCAACAGACCCUGGGACUGCGGAGGCACUCUUGACCUUGAGCUUGGGUUUACUUCUUUUGGGUCCUUCAUGUGUUUACCUUGUGCAUGAGUAUAACCUCUGGGAAGUGAUGUUGCAGGUUGCGGUGGCUCCAGUCUGUAUAGCUGGUGGAUCAGCAGCUUUUGCUUCAUCAAAUCUUGUAUCUAACUUGCAGAAAUCAAACUAAAUUUGGUACCCAACUUGCAGACAUCACCUAAAUGGUUGUGACUUCCGUUUCAUGGACCAAUAAUGAUGAUGGUCAAUUCACUGAAGCUAUCAUUUGAAUGUAAAUGUGCGUAAAAAGGAAAGAUUUUAGGCGAAGGAGAAAAUCAUGAUAAUACCAAAAAUUUGAUCAAAGAAUCCAGAAUACAUUACUUCAAUAAACCACCUUUUUCCUAUGUCAAAUGAGCUUUAUGAGAUGCCUCAAGUGGAGGGCCAAAAAAAAAAAAAAAAGGCAGGAAAAAGAGUUAAAAUGGAAAGAAGAAAAGCCCAAUAGUCUUCUCAUAAAACAGUUGCACUUAAGAAAACAACUUGAAUUCUAGUCCCUUCAUUCCCUUCGUUUAUACUGUCAAAAAAAUCAUCUGGUCACUUUCUCAGCUAAUGUUAAAGAAGAAAUAGAAUCAUGCUUUCGCCCCACCCUGACGGCCACCUCUUCCAUUCUGAUUAAUCCGCUGAUAAUUAUCUCCAUUCCGUCCACCUGAACCCUUAGGUCGUCCUGAAAACUCACCCUGGUUUCUGAAUUCAUUCCUGCCAUAGCCUCCCCGACCACUGCCAAAGUUCCCUCGAGCCCUGAAACUGUCACUCCGAAAGCCACCUUUACCUGAAGUGUACCUUGCUUUCCCACUGCUACCAACUGCAAAAAGAAGCAGCUUUUCAAGUUACACUGCCAACCUUCAAGUACUUUCAACUAGAAAGAAAUAACAAUAACAAAUUAUUGGAGGAAAUGCAUUUAAAAAAGAUCAAAGUUCCACAAAAAGGUUUUUGUUUAUGCCAGCCAGAUAUUUUUCGGACGGCAUUACUUUCAAGUUUCAAGCUUCCAUUCAAAUUAGCUAAAACUAUUAGAUGUAAAUCCCUGAUUAUAUUAAGUUUAGCAAGAAAAUUUGAUAUGAAUAAGGUGAGGAAGAACACCCACCCCAGCCGAACAAAUAUGACAAAGGGUUGAACUACAGCAAACUAAGCCUCUUCCGAGCUAUAUGGGUCAUAUUGCACCACAGUAACCUAUUUGAGACCAUAUCUCCCUUAAGCUCAGUAACUAUGACAAAGGGUUGAACUUAAGCAAACUAAGCCUCUUGUCACUAUGUAUGGGCGGCUAUAUGGGUCAUAUUGCACCAUAGUGACCUAUUUGAGACCAUAUCUUUCCUAAGCUCAGUACCAUCUGUGGAUGAACUAAAAGUUCAAUUCAUGCAAAACAAUAUCAUUAGGAAAAAAAGAAUAAAAUUUCAGCACCUAAAAUGCAUAUUUCCCAUCUAAAUUUUGAAUUACCUCGAGUAUUUGUCCUCUUUUCUUCCACAGCUGCUCGACGAUCCCCAAUUGUGAUUGGUGAAGCCUGAAAUGCAUUCAGCAUAUAAACAAAAAUAUACUUACAGAAACACCGAGGGGAGGCAGAAUGAGAUUAACAAGCCACUCUACAAAUCCUUCUUAGCCUAUUUUAUAGCCAAGAAGAAUAUUUUAAAACCAUCAUACAAUUGGUGACAAAGAAAUAUGGUUGUGCCUUUACCAAGAUAAUUUGAGGUUGAACUAUGCAAAAAGCUGUUAAUAAACAAUUACAUCAUGUUUUGGAUGUAAAAAAAAAAAAGAAUUAAUGCAAUGAUAUUCAACUAAAAUACCUAUAAUCUGUUUAAACAAAAAAGCCCUAGAAGAAAUUGUUUUUUUUUUUUUUUUAAAUUUUCAGUACAACACCCACCUUCCCCCAAAGAAAAAGGAAAAAAGAAACCUUAAGUAGUGAAUCUGAUGCCUACUGAAAUGUGAUAUGUGGAUUAAUUACAAAGUUCAUUUAGGAAGUAUCACCUGAAUUUCAAUUACAUCUCCAAAAUUUCAAUGUAAAAUUGAGGUCUCUGAUUAGCAUCAUAUUAACUUUGCAAUCAGAUGCAGUUGAGAAAAGAGGCAAAAAUUGGAGAAAACAUUGUAAUUAAACCUUUGAUUUAGGACCUUAGAGUAGACUGGGAAAACUCAUUUAUGUGAAUUUUUUAUGGCAUCCAUAAAACAUUAGUUAACAUUUAAUCAGUUUAAGCUUUCAACUUUCCAACUUAAUUCAACAAGGCUGCAAAUUGGUUAAAAACAGAAAAAUGACCUAAUAUAAGGUUAAGGAGAUUAUCUAAAUGUACAAGUACAAGGUCCCUCUUUCAUGUCUAUAUACUGUCCAAAAGUAACAGACGAAGAGAAGGAGACACCAGACCAAGGUGGAUUUAUUAUUUUAGACCAGCUGAUUCAACAAACUACAUAAAAGGUAGAGUUUUCUUGAAGAAAGUUCUAGAUAAAGUCAUCUAAUAAGAUAAUUUUUGAGUGACCCAUAAAAUCAUACCGCAACUUAGAAGACAUUGAUCUAGUUUUGGGUUUUAUUUCUAGUUUCUUAUUUUUGUAUUUUAGUACAAGCUAGGGGAUUGGGGAGGUUUGACAUAAUUGUAAACUUGAAGAGAUCCUAAACCCCAUUAAUGAGUACAUUGCUGUUUCAGUUCACUGUUAGAGUAACAAUAAUUUUUAGAGGAAUAACUUAGCAAAACUUGCCUAACAUAUGGCAUGUGUUUGAUAGACUAUAAUUAUGAAAUGUCAUGUAAGUAAUUGAAUGGAAGGGCGACUUAUGAGUUAUGACAGUGAUCAUACAGCACCAGAUUUAUAACAUGAAUGAUAAAAGAUAUGACCAUACCUCAAGUGCAGUCUGCACUGAACUUGCGGUCUCAAAUUCAACAAAACCAAAAGUGAAUCCCUGCUGCAGGAGGCAAGAAAUCACAAAACAGUAAGAACUGAGAGCUUGAACUAGAAAUGUCAACUAGGAAGGAGAACUCCAAGUUGGUAUCUGAGUUACAACCAUAUUACUUCUAACUUGGAUACCAUCGCGCUUAAUGGGCCCAAAUUUUUUGAAUGCCUCCUCAAGUUGUGCAGGUGUUGCAUUGUAAGGCAAAUUCCGUACAUAUAUGGAGUAUCCUUCAGCUUUGGGAAGACCAAAACAAAUGAGAUUUAUAUUUUAAAACAAGAAAGAAUAUCCAUGAAGACAUAUCAAAGGGAAAAAUACAUAAGACAUAAACAUUAACCAUGCCAAAUCAACUACGCCUUCUUUACACCCUUAAUCGAUAUCUUUAUUAAUUAAAAUAGAAAAGUUAUGGAUCUAACUUCAUUGAUAAAGAUAACAACUGUGAUUCUAUUAUCAUGCAAGUAUGCAGUAAACGAAGUUAGCAACUACCUUCCUCAUUGUCAUUGCUACUUUCAGGUGCAUUGUCACUGUUAGGUAUUGCUGCCUCUGGUGCUGGAGCAGGUUUUGUGGAUACAAUUGACUGUUGGUCUGCAGGUGCUGCCCUCACAUUAUUGGUAGGAACAUAGACUGGAGUAGAUGCUGUAUUACUUUUCAUUACUUUGACCUAAUAUAAUUCAAUAAGCUCAAUCAAACAUCAAAAGAACCACCAAAACAUUAAUAGAAAAAGGAAAAACCAUUAAUGUUAACUCACAAUUGAAGCAUAUGAUUUCUUUGGAGUAUCCUCUGGAGCCACAACAGCUGAAUCAAAGGCCGCUACACUCUCAUUCUGAUCUGCAAUGUUUUGGGGUUCAACAACCUCUUCUUCAAUUACUGACCCUUCCUCCUUAUCUGAGGGGUCACAAACUUCAGCAUCAUUAUCAAUAUCUUCCUCUUCUGGAUAAGUUAAUGGGUUCUCCACAAGAUGGUCAUGAGUCGGCUCUGCCAGCAAACAUUAAUGCAAUUCUAGGAUUUAAGUGUAAAGCAAAUUCAACCAUAAUGCAUAAAAAGAAAAGAAUCAGGCCACACCUGGUGCUGGUGUCAAGGCAGAUGUUGAAGCCUGUUCACUGACGCCAUUAACUGGAACAGAGUUUUGCAACUCUUUCUCUUCAACAUAUCUGAAAACAUCAUUUAAGACAAAGUAGCCUUUGUCUUGUGGAGCUAGAAAGAAAGUUUGUGAGAAUUUCUUUCUCACAUUGUCCUUCCCAGUUAAGCAUCCAGUUACCAGUACAAUGACCCCCUUCUCAUAAGAUUCCUGAGCAUCUGCGGUUUUUAUCUCUGCUGUAUAGUCCUCAUAUUUCAGCGAUAGUACCUUCUCAUUAAUUGCCUGCUCCAAAGCAAAUAUCAGUGCACUCUAACUCAAAGCCAUGUUCAAGCUAAGUUACAGUUAAAAGAAAAUGUCUAUUCAAGUUUAUCAAAUAUAAUAAUUAUUAUAUAAGACAUAAGAGUCUGCAGAAACAAGCACUUGAAAAUAUAUCCAUUACUAAAGUUAAACAUCUGUACCUAAUAGACAAACAAAGUGUGACCCAAGGUUUCAAUUGCUUCAGAUAACUGUGAAAAGUGAACUUCUCAAUAAAAAAAUUACAAAUAUUCUUUGCAAUUAUUCUCAAUAACUUGUUAUCAACUUAGUCUAACUGCUUCAUCUCCUGCACGAAGCAGGAUUCAAGCAGACGAGAAUAACCUAGGUAGAAAAUGAAAGAGGCCAUAUACUUUGAAUUCUUCAAAAUAAUAUAAUCAUGCCCGUUCAUAUUGGAAGCUAUCUUAACUCCUAACAGACUUACUUGCAUGGUUGUUACUGUUGUCAUGUUGCCAUACAUAUCUGGCCGACUUAAACGGCUAGAAUCUUGAUAAAAUCUAUGCACCAGAUUUGGUGAUUGGUGAAGAAUAUGGUAAUACUGCUUUACAAAAGCAUUUCCAACAACUUGAGCACUGGGAGUAUGGGCAGGACUUCCUUCCUGCAUGGCCAUCUGCACAUAGGUUCAAGGAAUCUAUAAAUAACGCUUCAAAGAAAGACAAUCAACUGCACAAUUACAAUGAACAAAAAGGAUCGCUGCUCCAUCUUUCAUGAGAAUAAAAAGAAAACACAAAAGAAAAGCACUUUAUUUACUCAAUAUUUAGAAACAACCCUAAACAUUAAGAGAAACUAUCAAAAAAAUGUUUGCAUAAAAAAUUAGUCAAAAGCUCAAGAAACAAAAUACGAGAUAUUCAACAGCAUAGACAACUUUGACCAACAUAAAGCAGAACAUUAGGACUUAGAGAUGUAAGAAACAAAACCUUUUCCCCAUAAAUCUGGUUUAUGUCAAAGAAUAGAAAUUAAUUAGUUCUCUAUAUAAGCGCUCCACCAUUAAAUGCUACACUAACAAUUCUCAAGCAAUUCCAAAACCACAAAGCUAAAACAAGUCAGAAAACAAACCCAUCACUGAAAAUAAAGGCAUAGUCAUAGUUCUUUAUAUCUAAAACAAUUAAGACAGUGAUUCAAAAGAAAAACAAAAUAAACCCUUUAAUCAAAAAACAAGGAAAUCCUCAAAACCCUUCAUAGAAAAGAAUAGUGUGAAGCAGAUUUAACAACCAAAAUCAACUUAAAAGCACGAUCUUGCAGGUGAUUAUCAGAUCAAUCAAACAUCGUGACUACAACGAUCAAACACAGAUCAAUUGGAAUGAAAGAUAUGGGGAAAGUAAGAUCAGAUGUACCUGAUUCGUGGGUGAUUUGAGAUUAAGAGAGAGAUCUGUGAGCUUUGAAAUAAAGCAGAGAGAGAAGCUCAAAGCGUAUGACAAUAUGCGUAGUAAGUAGGAAAUGUGAAGAAUAAUAGCAAGGCCAAAGAAAGAUGCUUAAAUUAAAAUAUGAAAAUUGGUUUUUUUUUUUUUUUCCUUUCUUUUUUACUUUUUUGGGUCCAUUUUCUAUUUUCCAUUAUUCCCUUUCUUCGAAGCUGGUCUCUCAAUUAAAAUAUUAUUUAAUUUUUUUAAUUUAAUGUAUUAUUAUAUUUUUGUUAUAAAUGCAAAUGAUUCAUAUUAUUUUUUAUUAAUUUAAUAAAAAUAAUAUAUUAAUAUAAAAAUUAUUUAAAAUAAUAAUUAAAUAAUUUUUAUUUAUUAGUUUAUAGACAUCCGGGUUUAAAUAAAAUUAUGUUUAAUAUAUGAUUAAUGGAUUAAAUCUUUAUUUUCCCAUACAAAUCAUUAAAAAAUGUUGAUCCAUUUUUCCUUUGGUGAUAAUGAUUGGGUUGUUAACAGGACUCAAUAAUUUUUGUUGCGUUGAAUUUUGUAUAUUUAACUUGUAUGACUCUUUCCCUAUCUUUUCUAUGAGAAGGACUUUUCAGUUGGAUUGAAAAUGAAUCUCUUGUUUUUAUUUUAUAUAUUUUAAAAUAGAGCUAUAACAAGUUGGAUAGAAAAUAAUUUCAAUAGUUUUGAAUAAAGAUUUAAUGCUCUAAAUUAAAUUAUUAGUCAAAUAUUUUUAUUAAAAUUAAAUUAUAAUAAUAGUUCAUUAGGAAGAAUAUCUUAACAAGAUAAUUAUUCAUUAAAUAAUGUUCCUGAAAUUUUGGUUUGUUGAAUAUAUUUGAUCAUUUUCUUUUUGUUUUUAAAGAAUCCAUUUGAAUCCACAUUUCCAAAUUAAAAAAAUAUUUGUUCCUUCAUUUUGUUUAACUCUAUUUUGAAUAAAAAUGAUGAAAUCAAAAUUUAAUUUGAUUAUUUCAUAUUAUAAUUAAAAAAAUCCAAUAAAAAUAUAACUCAAAUCUUAAUAUUAUAAUUUUUUUAUAAAAUUGCAACACAGAAAAUUACAAUUAUAAUUAAAUAUUACAUUUAUAUAAUUAAUUAAAUAAUUGACUAUUACAUUACAAUUAAAUUAUAAUUAUUAAAUAAUCAACUGAUAAACUAGAAUAAUGAUAACAUUCAAAACAUCACAAAAUUUUUUUAAAAAAAAUUUAUUGCUAAACUAAAAUCGUAUUUGCAACACUUAUAUUUUUUUUAUAUUCCGAACUCCGAAACAAAUAAAUAAAAAAUAAGAAUGAUAAACAUUAGUUAGAUGUUAAAAAUUAAAAUGAGCAUUAAAUCUUUGUUUUCAGUAUAUAUAUAUAUAUAUAUGCCAGAAUUGUCUUUAGUGUAUUACUAUAUAUAUAUAUAUAUAUAUAUAUUUUUAACAAAUGAACUAGUAUUAGCCAAUAAAAAAGAAGUAAUAGGCAAAGGCUAAAAUUCUUGAGUCUGGACAUUUCACCAAACCGAGUCCGUCUUUGAAUUUCUGUGGUGAGAGUGAAAUUAACAAUGGCGUCGAAAGCAAGCAGCUCCAUCUUCCAAAGCCUGAAACGCUACAUCAAGAAGCCAUGGGAGAUAACCGGACCCUGCGCCGACCCAGAAUACAAAAACGCUUUGCCAAAAGCGACGGAGUACCGUAUUCGCUGCCCCGCCACCACUUUGCAAAAGCCCAUCGUCCCAACCUCCGAUCCCGAAACUGUCUUCGACAUCAAAUAUUACACCCGCGAUCAACGCCGCAAUCGCCCUCCUAUACGCCGCACCAUCUUGAAGAAAGCUGACGUGGAGAAGAUGAUGAAAGAGAAAACCUUUGAUGUUAAUGAUUUUCCUAGGGUUUACUUGACUGCUAAAGUUGAAGAGGAUGAGAAUGCUGUUGGUGGAGGUUACCAGAAAUAGGUAAGAUUUUGGAACUCCUAUUUCCUUUUCAAUUUGAUGGUUUAUUAGCUAUUUUUUUAUGUUAUUAGCUGAGGGUAUUGUUCUUUUCUCUCUCAUUUUUUUUUAUGAAUUCGAUGAUUUAAAGAUUUGGGUACUGGUUAUUUUCAUGUUUUGAGAUGUGGGUAAUGAUUGGUUUUCCACUAUGUAAUAUGUAUGAUUUGGGCUUUUUACCAACUGGGAUUUAGGUGCAAUUUGAUUGAAGCUUGAUUUGAGUUACUAUAUGAAUUAUGCAGAAGUGAAAGUAUUGGAAUAGAUGACUUCUAAGGUUAUUAGUUGCUUUGUUGAUUUCUAAUUGAUAUAAUGCUUUUUUGGAAUACUUAUUCAAGGCUUUAGAGUUAUGAGUUUAAAUGUAGAUUGGUUUUCUUUUGAUUUGAGUUUGAAGAAGUUAAUUAGGGCCAGGUUGAAAUACCUCUCUCUCUCUCUCCCCGAGUUUUAGGCAAUGUUUCUUGGCAAGAUGGGUGAUACUGCUUUGUUUAAUUUUUAUGAUGUUUGGUUUUUGAUGGGGAUGGGUGGUGCCAGUGGGUUUGAAUUUGAGUGGGAGUGAUUUGGUGUUUAAGAUUUAGGAUGCCUGAGGUAUUCUGAGUGUGAUCUUGAAAGUUUUCCUACUCUAUCAGGCUUAAGGAAGUUUUCUUUUGGGUGGGAUUAGGGUUAUCAUGAGAUUUAGAUGGUGGUAUAUGGAUGCUAAAUUUGAAGGUAAUGUACUAUACUUCUAGGAGAUUUGCAUUUUGUUUUGAUUCAACUAGCCUUGUACAUGGGUUGGCAUGUCUUUGGUGCAUUUUAGUGCAAUAUCUUCAUUUAUCUUAAAAAAAAAAAAAAAAAAGAAAGAAAAAGCAUGAGUCAAGUUUUUACCCUGGGCAUUAGCUCAAGUUGUACGGAGCAGCAUGGGGUGGGAGUAUGGAUGGACCUAAUGUCAAAUCUUAUCAAACUUCGGGGAAAAAGGCCUUACCAUGUGCACCAACUGCUGCAGACGUUAAAUGCCUGUAGUAUUCCCCCAAAAAACUUCCACUGCAAUUGUUUGAAGGCUGUUGUCUUUACCACAUUUUAGGGUAAGACAAUAAGAUUCUUAUACCUGCAUUUGCUGGAAAGUAGGUUGGGUAUUAGUUAUUGAUCUUGGCAAUGGUGAAUCUUUGUUGUGAUAGCCUUGUCAGAUUCUGUGGCCAAUUUUCUUUUCUGAACCUCCUAUGCUAGCAGAAAAUGUUAUAGAUCUGUCUGCAUUUUCUUAGUGUUUACAUUCUAUAGAGAUUGGAUCUAUUAUGUAAAGUGAUCUUUCUCUCUCUCUUGAUUGAAAUGCAAUGUAAAUUGCACUCAAGCAUUUCUAUCAUGGGUGGUGGAGGAUGCAUGUGUAUAUCUUGGAUUUUAUACCAACCAUAUACUAUAAGUGUCAUGACAUUCCUAAUACUUGGUGGCCGCAUUCUUGAAAUUCCUUGGUGGCGUGAUUUUAUACCACUGUUUAUAAAUUGUAAGUAUGGGGUUAUUCAAUAUAUUUAAAUGCGCUACAUUUUAUCACCUGAUUUUCUGAACUUGUUUAUUUAUUAUUUUAUUUCAACUUAAAUUCAUAUUUGACCUAUGAAAAAGGACCCUACGUUUUCUAAGCUUACUGAGGAUAUAGUUGUAAAGAAUAAAUAGAGCAUAAUGAUGCAAUAUUGUCCAUAUAGCUUACCUCAUGUAGUUGGAAAAGGCUUGGUUGUUAUAUUAACCCUUCGCACUAGUAAUCUCAUCGAGCUUGUUUCACAUGCUUCUGUUGUUCCAAGAUGAUAUUAUUGACUUUAAAAAUAUUUCUGGCAUGUGAACAGGCCUCUGAGAACCUGUGGCAAAAUUUAGCGUGCACCAGUUCCCUCUGUUUCACUCUUGCUGGCUUGUCAUGGAACAAAUGCAGGCCAUGUUAGCAAUAGCAAUUUCUUGAGACUCUUGAAGUUAAAGAGGAUGUGGUUUCCAACAUUAAUAAGGAUAGUUGCCUGGAUUUUGUUUAUUUUGUGGGUUUAUUCUGUUAAUCAACAUGUAUUUAUAAAUCCAGAUGCGACUGCAGUUGGGUGAUGGAUGAUUUAAUUGACUUCUUCAAGCUUUUAUGAUUUUCUAAACAUGAUAAUCUGGAGUAAUUUUUAUAACAUCACAAUAGGCCAGAAAAAGCCUCAUAGGAUAGCCCAAUAUUCUCUUGGCCCAAAUGCUGGUCGAUCCAAUGCCGCUAUCAUUUCUGUCAGUUACCUGGUUUGUUUUUUUCUUUCUGUGAACAAAACUUGGGCCUACGAUGGGUUGCGACAAGCUUAAUGCUUCCUUAAUCAACCAUUUUGAGUAAACGAAAAAUAGAUUUUAUAAUUCAUGUAUUUGUGUCAUAUAAAAUAUUAAAAUUUAUGUAUUUAUAUUACGUAAAAUAUUAAAAUUUAUAUAUUUAUAUCGUAUUUUAUACGAAAAUUAUAUAUAAAAUUUUACGUUAAUACGAAAAUAUGAAAUAUAUAUUUGUAUGAUUUUGUUAAACUUAUAUAUAAUUAUUAUUAAAAUUUUAAAUUACAUUAUUUUUGUAUUUUAUUUUUAUAUUGUAUUUAUAUAAUAUAAUUUUAUCUUAUUUUAAUUGUUGUGUUUUAUAUUAUCAGAUCUAUCGAAAAGUGAAAAAAAUAAUAAAUUAAAAAUCGAAAAGUACUAAAAUUGAAUUCAAAGAUUCAAAUUAAUUGCUCAUUUUCUAUAUCAUUUUUAAGCCAUGGAAUUAGAAUACCCUUUUCUUUUUAUUUUGGUACUGAAUACCUUUUUCUUUUUUAGAGUAUAAGUUUAAGUUUCAAUGAAAAAAGCCUAGACGGUUCUUUUUUUAUUAUUAUUAUUUAUUUUUUAAUAAAGGAUGAAGAUUGCGGAUAGAAAAAGAGAUUAUAUUUGACUUCAAACUUUAGGGAUUGCAUUUGAUUUCAAAUAUAUUAAAUAUCAUAAUUUAAAGAUAUAUUAUAUAAAUUAAUUGAAUUAAAAUUUAAAUUUGAUUAUUAUUAUUAUUUAAAAAGCCAAGUUAGUUAUCCUUAACAAGCUGCCAUAAAUUACAAUUAAGACUGCCAUGCUAACUUGAUUAGUGUGAUUAAUUAAAUCUCUAACCACUCAUCCAACUGCACCAUAACACCACCACUACAUGCUAAAUAGCCGUCCUAUUCUACUAAUGCUACAUAUUAUUUUCUACCCUCUCUGCCUUGUUCCUGUAUACAUAAUUACAUGCCUAAUUAAGCUAGGUUUUUACGUGUUUAAUAAUUUCCAAUUUACAGAUUUUUACAUUUACCAUAAUUUUAGUUUCAAAAAUUUUCGGCUUACUUUCAGAUUUCAAAAUAAAUUUUGCAUCAAUUUAUUUCUGCUUCACAUCUUAACAAUGAAUUGAUACAUUUAUAUUUAAAUUAAAAAAAAAAAAGUAGUGAUGGUAACCGUAUAUUCAAUAACUGAAAAUCGUUUAAUAUUAAUUACAUAUCCAUAACUUAUUAAAAAUUUAUUGUAAUUAUUCAUAACCUAACCAAAAUAGUUUAUGAUAUUAGUUAAUUAUCCGAAAUCAUUUAUUUAAUAGAUACUCGAUUAAAAAUUUGACCCGAUUAAAAAAUUCAUCAAUAUUGUAAAAUAAGAUCAACUUUUAUAAUAUAUUUUAAUAUUCAAACAAAAAAUAAAAAUUAAAUCUAAUAAGAAAUAAAAUAACAAAAAAAUUCAAAUCUCUCAAUUUGCAAGGAUUUAAAACUUUUCAAAUAAGUUUCGCUCCGAAACCAAAUGUCUACAAACCAUUUCAUCUAAACCCUCAAAUUUGUAUCCUAUUCAAAAUCAUGUUCAAAUAUAUCCAAACAUAACUAUUUGAACCCGUUUUAUUCGGGUUUAAUGGCUUAAUCGUAUCGAAGAUCCCUAAACACAGGUAAGAAUUUGCAUCUCCGAGUGGAGUUAAUGAAAAUUGAGUUACUGAUCCAACAAAAAGAAAAGAAAAAAAAAAAACAAAGACAAUGAAAUGAAAGAAAAAGCAAAACAAAGUCAUAAAUUAUUUUUUUUUACGCCACAGAAAACUUAAAGUACAUUGAUAUUGGAGAAAUUCGAGAUGCAUUCAUGUUAUUGUUAGUUGCAGUUUGGGUCAAUGGUGAAUGCAGACUGCAGCAUGGUUCUACUUUCACAAAGUAAAAAUAAUGGACCACAAAGGGACACCAAGUUAAUUUUUGCCUCCUUUACAGCCUCUGUAUUCACUAAGAAAUCAUUAAUUACCUUUUUAAAUAAUUAUAUUUGAUAAAUGGUUUGUCUCCUUAGCUUUCAAUGAGUAAAAUGCACUAUGCAAUAUUUUUAUUUUUAUUUAUGUAAAUGGGAUCUUUUAAAUUCAUAUAUUUCAUCAAUUAUCAUUAAAAAAUUUAAUAAAAUAUGUCACCAAAAAAAAAAAAUCACAUAACAUAUAUUCCAACCCAAAAGGUCAAAAAAUUUUAAUUUUUAGGAUGUGCUUAUAACUUUAAUUUUUUUUUUUAAUUUUCCUUAAGAAAAUCCCCCUUUUUUAAAACAACCACCAUUUACAUUCUUUCACAUUUAUUAUUAAAAGUAAAAAAAAAAUCUUUUGAUAUUGGACAUUUCCUCUAAAUAUAUAGCUUUAAUUUUUCCUAAUUAGUUGUUAGAAUAAUUUUGCUAUAAUUAAUCAAUAGUGAGACUUAAUGGAUAACUAUAUUUUGGCAUGCGAUUUUAUUUUUGUUAAGUAAUUAAGCAAUUAUUGCUUGAUAAAAGCAUCUAUAUCACGAUUUAUUUUGUUAUUUUUUUAACCUUUCUACUUACAAUUGAUGUUCAAGUUAUUUAUGGAUUUCAUAUAUUGAUUUUCACAAAAUUUUUUAAUAGUUUUAGGCACACUACUAUCUAGCUUGAAUUAAUGUUACUUAUGUAUUAAGAGUGAAUUAAAUAUCCUAACUAUAGAUCAAUUUUUUUUUGUUAUCUUUAGAUAUAAUAAUUUCAAAUACAAUACGGUGAUACGAUAUAAAAAUGAUAUAAAUAAAAAAUAUAAAAAUAAUACGAUUUAAAAUUUUAAUAAAAAUUAUAAAUAAAUUUGACAAAAUAAAAAUUAUUUUAUAUUUUUAUAUUAACACGAAUUGUAAUAUAUAAUUUUUAUAUAAAAUUUUAAUAUUUUAUAUGAUAGAAAUAUACAAUUAUCAUAGCUAUCAUCUUUGAGAAAUCCACGAAAUUUCAGCUUUGGAAAGUAAGCAACCAACUAUGAGGAAAAAAAAAAAAAAGAGCUGCCCUACGUGUAGUAGUGAUUACAACCUAAUGUCACGCGUGUUCGUGCAUUUUUGUUUUUGUAAAAAAAAAAAAAAUCCGUAGCAUUGAGUAUAUAUAAAGAAAAGUUUUGCAAAAAUUAAAAUUUAAAUAUCAAACUUACAUAUUUGCAUGUAUAUGUAUAAAUAUAAGGAGAGAUCACUUUAUAUAAUGUAAAAUUAAAAAAAAUUAAAUUUUUUUUUAAUUUUUAAUUUUAAUAAAUCUAAGAAUGAGAGAGAUAAGUAAAAUUAAAAAAAAAAUUUAAUAUCAUAUUUGAAUCUAUUAAAAUCAAUAAUUAAAAAUAUGUAAAAUUAAAAAAAAUUUAUAUUGUGCAAGUUAAUCGCUCAUAUAUAUAAAUUUAUAAAGAAGUAAGAUUAAUUUAUAUUAAUGUAAAAUUUUUUAUUUUAUAUGUUUUUCUAACUAUUAAUUUAAACAAAUUCAAAUAAUCAAAAAAAUAAUUUAAUUUCAAUGCUUCAAUCUAUUAAAAUUAACUUUUAAAAAUAUAAAAUUAAAAAUUUUAUUCCGAUAUAAAUUAAUCUCUCCUUAAUCUUUAUAUAUAUAUAUAUAUAUUGAGAUAUAUUGAGAUAAUAUUCAGUCAUGGUUGAAGGGUGCGGUAGUUCACUUUCUGUGCUGCGUACCUUUCGUAUUAUUGACGCAGAGCGCAUUUUUCCACGAGUUUGAUCAUGUCCAGAACCACCCUUUUUCUUUUUUUUUUUGUUCUUCUAGGGUUUGGCGCAGUCGCUUUCGCUGCGAAAUAGGAGAGUAAUUGACUGCAUAAGCAGAAGAGAAAGAGACCUAACAGAAAAAAAAUAAAGUAAACACAAGAAUUGGAUUAGAUGCGCUUCCUAAAUUAGCAAUCCCUAAGAUAAUCCGUCCAUUUGUGAUUUUUAUCUUCAAUAUAUUCAUUGAUGGAUCAUGAUUUUUUUUUAUUUGUUCCUUUAUAAUAAUAAAAAUUAUCGAUGAAUUUAUCGAUUUUAUCAAUAAAAAAAAAGUGUUUAGUGAAAAAUUUUAAAGUGAAUUUAAAUUUUUUUUAUUUCCCAAUUUUUAAAGAUGUUAUAUAUUCCAUAUUUCAUAUUCCAUACAUAUGUUGCUGUGUAUCAGUAGAUAUUAUACAUAUAUAUAUAUAAUAUAUCCAUAUCCACAGUCCAUUAUUCCUCUUACAAUAGGCCAUGGGAAUAUGAAUCUCUCUCUUUCUGUCACUCUUGUCAAUAUUCAAUAACUGGGUUAUGCUGAUGAUAGCUGAGAUCUUAGUGUUGAAAGUGAUACUAGAAGGGGUUUUACAGAUUGUUAAGGUCUCUGCUUUCAAUUCUGACAUUUCUUUCUUCAGUUUUUUUAUUGUUUGUUUUUGCUAUAGCCAUGGCAGCUACUACUUCAUUUUAAUUGUCAGCCAGGCUUUUUCUUUCUAGAUCACCACUAACCAGCAAACAAGAACGACAAAGUUUCCCAAUUAAUGAGGUAACGCAAACUGACACAAAACCAGUAAAAGUUUCAACCAAAUUAGAAACCACAUGUAAAGAUAUUCAUCUAUUACACUUUCAUAACAUCAUGUCUAAAUAAAACAACACUAGCUUUAAAUAAAGGAUGCAUGGCCUCAUUGCUAGUCUACUUUCAAAUUCGUUAAACUCAUUUGAUACCAGGAUUGGGAUCUGGAAGAGGCAUCUAUGAAGCAGUACUCAAGGUCUAUCAAUGGAAGCUAUGGUAUUAAUGGGGUUCUUCCAAUAGGAAAACAAGAAAAAAAGAAGAGAGUACAGCAGUCAGAGGAUGCAGUUUUUGUUGAUCAUAUGAUCAUUAAUAGAAAACCGGAAACAAAAAAUGGAAGUUGGGAAUUUACCAAUCCUCUGAAGAUUUAUAAGAAAAUUUAAUGGAAAAAAAAACAAAGAAAAUUCUAUUUGCUUGUCAGUGUUCAUCUUCCACUUUGAUUUGCAUUUAUACAUUGAUUGAAAUAUUUGAUGUAGUUGAUGAUCAGUCCAUAAAUAAUUAUAUCACAUAUCCACUAGCUAUUUACCGGGCUAAGUAAUUUGCAACCAUCGAUUUUUAUACUGAUACACACACACACUGCUGGGCAGAUUUUAGAAUCUUAUAUUUUGAUCAUUUAACUUUUUUUACAAAACUUGGAUGCAUUAAAUUGAGGAGUUGAGGGAUAUUUAAUUUUUCAACUGUAAUAAUAAGCUUAUAUGCAAUCAAAGUUACCCUUAAAGCAGUUGCUGUUAACAGAUUGAUCAAGUAUAGGAGAUAAAGCAGCUGAAAACUAUAAAAGAAUCAAUCUACUAAUUAUCCAAAAAGAAAAAAACUUAAAGCUGGAGCUAAGUUUUGGUGUGUAUCAAGUACUAACCAUUUAUCUUAGUCAGGUUUAGCAGCAAGUACAAAACGUACUUUAGCCAGUUAGGUAAUUCAUUUUAAUUAGAUGAUAGGUAGCCAAUUAAAGCCACAUUAGCAUAGUAAUAGUAUGUAUUAUUUGAAAAAAAAUUGAUCAAAGGAUUAUUCAUUCUGUUUUUUAACUGUGGUUCCUUCAAGUUCAUAUUUUGAUAACUAGAUAAAUCCUGGAAUCAUUUCAAUGGAACAAAAAAAAAAAAAGUUGGUGUUCUGAAUUAGAUUUAUAAAAAUUGAUAAAACAUGUCACCAAUCAUGGUAGUCUGGUAAAAUACUAAACUUUUAAUUUCACCGAUAGAAUCAAGAAAAAAGAAAUUGAUCAGAAAUUUCUCUGUUAUACAAGCUAUCUUAAUCUCCAAAAAGAAAAUUUAAGGAACCAAAAAAGGUUAAGUUUCAAGCAGAUUGUAAACCAUUAAAAAUUGAAGAAAUUGGAUCAUAUAUAUCCUCCCUUCUAUUUUGGAGAUCAAACACUAAACUAAACCUUCAACUGAUCAUAGUGAGGAGAUUAAAUGGCUGUCUGAAGCACAACAGUCUGUGUCUGAGAUUUGGGACCAUUUUAAUUUGAUAAUUAUGGAGGCACCUUGAAAGAAAAUCAGAGCAGUACUUAAAUCCUUUCUCGUGAUGCCCACCUCUUUUUUUCCUGCAAAGAAAGGGAUAACUCAAAACAAAUUUCUAUUUAUGUAAAUACAAAAUUUGAUAAAAACCCUGGAAAUAAGUAGGCAUGAAAUUAGUAUUAAGUACUUUCCAAUAAAAGUUUGUGCAUGUGAAAUAAUAAUUAAAGAGAGGUAAUUGUCCUUAGGGUUCAUUGUUUUAUGCGUUAUGCCCACUUCUGAUCUCUUUACCAAAAAAUGUUAAAGGCUUUAAAAUCUUAAAAGGGGUAUUGGCUUUGCCUCUGAAUUGACUUGAGAAGUAGUAGAUUGGGUCAUUUUAUUUUGCUGUAUAAAUUCUAUUUGCAUUGUCAAUGAAACAUUGAAUAUUGCAAAGCUGAGGAUAUUGCAACAGGUUCAUAGGGUUCAUCAAAUUGUUGGGUUUUUCCUUAUUUCGAUACAAUAGGGAUAUAAAGUUGAGUUCAGCUUUUCAACUGGUGCAACUGCAAGCUACAUUGAUGACUGGUCUAUUAGUGCUAGUGCUGUAAUUUUGGUGAAGAUCCCAUUUUCUAGAUUGUCAAGGUAACUCAAAAAGUUGCAGUCUCCCUCUCUCUCUCUCUGAUCUGAUCUUUCCCCCCUCACUCCCACAAACAUAUAUCGGACAUACACAUUCUUCUGGGGUCUUCAUGAAUCAUUGUUAUUAUCAUGUUUGGAUGUUGUUUCUUUUCUUUCUUUGUUCGGAUAAAUGUUGAAACCCCUUUUCCCCUUAUAGGUAGAUUGAGAUCAUAAGAGAAAAAAAAUAUAUGAAGAAAAGUAAUUGCAUGAUCUCUAAAUUUCUGGUGUUAGUUUUCACUUCUUCGGGAAGCAUUUUGGAGUCUUAUUCUAACAGUUAAACGACACAAUUUCUCAAAAUGCAGAUACAAACUUUAACUCUUCCUUGUUAGAGGCUGCAUGCAAAUAUUUCUGUGCAUCAAUCUUUUUGGCUUCAUCCUUGUCACAAGAUCAUAUAUACAUAUGCAGGUAUGCAAUGAAUCCAUGAUUCUUCAUUCAUGUAUUCUCUUAAUAAAAGAAUAAUGUUCAUCUUGGUUGCAUAAGGCAAGCACCAAGUUUUUUAGGUUUUUCUCUUCAUUAUCUUCCAAAACUCCAUAUCUAGAAAUGUUAAGGAGCUACAUCACCCAACUUUGAGUUGACAAAUAUCUCUAUAUGUAUGAAUGUAUAUAUAUAUAUAUAUAUAUAUAUAAUUUUAAAGUUGGCAUGUCGUAUUUCAUAUUCACUUAUAAUAUGUCUCAGCCAGAAUUUCAAAAAAAAUAUAUAUAUAUAUGCAUAUAUUCUCUAAUGAGAAAAAGAAAACAUGAAAUCAUUUGCAAACAGAAGUUAAAUUGCGUGAAUUGUGAAUAGAACUUAUAAAUAAAAAAAGUUAAAAUAAAGUCCAACUUGUCUCGUGCAAAUCUCAGUACUGCCAUAGACGUGAGUGGUCCUUGUUUCUACUCAGUGUAGAUGCUUUAAAGAAGCUAUGUUGGUCCCUCCUCUACAAGGGUAGCUAACUAGCCAUUGCUAUCUAUAAUGUAAUCCUGUUAACGAAAUUCUAGCGUUGCAUAUAUACACCACAACUUUGGAAGCCACAGCCACAAUUAUAUCUGAUGAAAUUUCCUUUCCAUAUGAACUUAACUCCAUUUACAAUUCCUUUUCCUCUACAUCAAAGUCUAGCUCAUUUGAAGGAAUAAUUUCCUAUUCUCUACUUAGGCCCAAGACAUUAGGCAUUGUUUUUCACUUUCAUUGCUGAAUGAAAGUUAACUUUUAAUGUAGCGGUAUAUAUGUUGAUAUAAAAGACCAACUAAGGUUAGUUAAGUUAGUAAGAAUAGAAUAUUUAAUUUCUAAGGCUUAGAUUCGAUUCUCCUUAUCCAUAAUUCUUAUUAAAGUCUGCAGCAUAUUUUGGCUCUGAAAUGGUAUAUCCACCCCUCAUUUAAACUUUUUUGUAAAACCAAAACAAAUCCAUGGUAGAAAUUGAAACAACACCCCAAUAUAUAGUAUUAUUGGGUUCAAAUAAAAUGCUUCCUUUAUUUAUUUUCCUUUUUCAACUCAACUAGCUAGGCAUGCAUUAUAUAAAGCUAUUUGUAGUUGCCAAUAAAGCAUAAGCCCUCUUUUUCUAGUAUAUAUUGAAUGGUCCCAUAUUGUAAUGAAGUUAACCUUCUACUUUGUGUGCUAUUCGAAACUUGAAUAAUUUAAAUACAAAGAUGAGCAAAAUACCAAUAAUUAAACUAGUGAUUGUUCAGUAUGUGGUAUGAACAAAUUUAUGAAAGUUACAUCUUUCUCUUCCAAUAUUGAUGUAUCAACGAGCGUCGGAUGCCAGAUGGACGCGGAUAAGCCAUACCUUUUCCUUUUUCCUUACCAUGCAACAUGCUUGCAGUGAAAUUCCAGCAUCUUUUCUUUCCUACAGAUGUGGUUUCUUUUGCUAGCUAGGUUUAUUCUUAGCAGAGUUGUUGUUUUAAGCUUUAACCCUUCCUUGUAUACAGUUCUACUAAGCUGAAGAGAAUACAUAAGGGAGCUUUCGAUCUCCAUUGCAGCGAUCUUUUCCUACUUCUAGUUCCUUAGCCUUGACAGUCAAGAACUAAAUUAGUCUGUUCUGCUGCAAGAUGUGCAACUGUUAAUUUUAUGUAAGUUUAUCGUCCAUCGAUCUGGUCUUUGGCAUAAAAAAUAAAGGAAUAAUGUUUGUCAAACCCUAACCAUUUUCUUAAAAAGUACUCCUUUUUUUUAUUUCUAAAAUCAUCUAAUCUUCUGUUAGAAUUUAUAUUCAUAAAUCAAAUUGAUUUGAUUAACUCAUAUUCCAGUUGUCUCCAGCUUUAAUGUUGUUGCUUUAAAUUCUUUUUGGAGAUUUACUCAAGUUCUAAUUGGAGCUACAGGCUCUAUCCAAAGUACAAUUUCUAUACAAAUUUAGACCUGAUUCCUCUCUUUGAUUGAUCUUUUUUUACUUUUAUUAUAUUAUGCAUUUGAAACCGUAUAUACACACAUAUCUAGAUUGAAAAUAACCAAGUUACUUUGAAAUUUUGUAUAUAGAAACAACCUUCAGUUCUCAGGAAAUACUGUGUAGAUUUGGCUAGCUGUUGAUCUUAUUUUCACAUAUCAUGAAGCAAAGAUUUUCAACUUUUAAUACUAAAACUAGUUGAAAGAAAACAUGAAGAUAGAGCAAUUUACUGUCUAAUACAGGUUAAUUUAUUGCUUGUUUCAGUUGAUAUACCUUUUGAAUGAUGAGAGGAGUAAGAUGAUCUCGAGUUCAAGGGAAAAAGAUCUUCAAACAAAGCAAGAGGGUGAAACCAAUGACGGCAAGGUCUCCAAAGGGCCAUCAAGUUCAAGGCAGUGGUCUGCAGGAUUUAGAAAUCCAAGGAUUGUCAGAGUCUCGCGCUCGUUUGGAGGAAAGGAUAGGCACAGCAAGGUUUGCACAAUAAGGGGAUUAAGGGACCGGCGGAUUAGGCUUUCUGUACCUACUGCAAUUCAGUUGUAUGAUUUACAAGAUAGGCUUGGCCUUAGUCAGCCUAGCAAGGUGGUUGAUUGGUUGCUUGAUAUUACUAAAGAUGAUAUUGAUAAGCUCCCUCCACUUCAGAUGCCUCAGGGAUUUGGUCAGUUCCAUCAGCCAAUGCUAGUUUCUCAUGAAUCAAAUCCCUCCCAAUCUUCCCUUGCUCCUUUCUUCGAUGCAAAUUCUAUGUUCAUGAAGGAUGGAGAAGAUCAAAGCAUAGCAGCAAAAAGAUAUUGGGAUAAUAUGGCUGCUGCACUGAGAGCAAAAAGUAAGGAAGUUGAAAGAGAAAGUACAAAUGCCGCUGCUGAGAAGGGAAAGUGGAUCAGACUAAAUGAACCAGAAAAUCAAGAUGGAAAUAUUGGUGUUUAUACUGGUGGUCAGGCUUUAUCUCAAAAGCUUUUUCCUUUAACCAAUCAUUCGUCAUCACCUGGCUUGUUAAACAAUGCCAUGCCCUUCAAUUCUUAUUGCCAUUGGGAGCCUUCAAGUCUAUCUUUGUCUCAAUUUGGGAACCAUGGAUUUCUUCCCCAAACUGAAAAUUUCCUCAAUGGUAACACUAGUGUGCAAUUGCCAUCUUCAUUGUCUCUUCCAUUGGCACAUGCACCCCAGUUUUUUUUCUGCCCACCAUCGACAAUGCCUUCACUUUUUCCCACAUAUCCUCCAUAUGGUACUGCACCAGGUCCAGGGGACAGUAAUGAUUCCAGGCAAAUGAAUCAUUUCCAAUUAUUGAGCUCAAAUUCCCAACAUGUUCUGCCAAAUUCUGUCACAAUGAGUUCUCCCAUGAAACAUUUCUCUUUAAACGUAAAUGCUGGCCUCACUCUUACACAAAAUGAUGAUGAAAGUCAUGCAGAUGAGGAUAAUACCGAUUCUUGAUAGCUGGUUCAAACUUCAAAAUGAUAUUAAUUUGAUUUCAUGGGCUACGUACAUCAAUAUGGAUUAUCAAAUUUCAUAUGUUUUGCUGAGGCGGAAAAUUUGAAAUCACCAAAUUAGGCAAGAAUUACAAUAAGGGUCAUUACAUUUUGUUUGGAAAUACACCAGGAGAAGAGAGCUGGCAGUGACAGUUAUUUUCAAGUUCUUCAAGUGGGAUGAACUUAUUCUACAUUACAGCAGGUAAGAUGCUACAAUACUUGUGGCUUCUAUAUGCAUAUUAUUAUUAUUAGACAGUUUUUAAUUACGUAGGUGAAAUGAAAGAUAAUUUGUACUAUUAAUGUUUUGCAGUAUGGCAUUGAUUCUUGGGUUUUAGCUUUCUAUAUUUUGCUAUAUAUAUAGAAUCAAUUGUUUCAUUAAUAGUUUUCUUUAGCCUGGAUGCCAUGUUCAGUAACUGCAUCACUGUCAUCAUUCAUGACAAUUAGCAAUCAUACGAGGAAAUGCUCUCCUAUAUAAAUGCAUUAAUUUUCAUGCAAAAUCCAUUUUCCAUCGGGUUUUGGUUAAUUUUAUUUAGCCAUAUAUAUAACAUACAUAUAGAAGUAAUGAUCUUCUCUAUACUCUCCCAUAUAUAUAUAUGUUCUUAUUGUGUAUGUGUGUGUGUGUCAUUUACUAUCACUUUAUUAUAUAUAAUUGCGUCUGUCUAAAUUAAACCACCACAGCUUAUAAUUCAUAUCAACAAAUUUUUUACUCAAAGCACUACCAUGUAUGAUUUACUAGUAGUAGUACAUUCCUAAUCUUCUAUGUUAAAAUAUCUAGUAAUUAAAUAAAAUUUUUAGUAGCUAGCAUAAAUCAUUUCCAAAAAUGUUAAAAAUCAGAUUAAUAUGUUGUAAUAACCUUAAAGUCAUAAAAGAAACACAAAAAGUCUAAAACUAAGUGUUUAGAUGAAAAGUACAUUGACACUUAAGUAAUCUAUAGUGCUUAAGCAUUUGACUAAAUGAUUAUUUGCAGAAGUACAUUUAUAUCCUCUUACUCAGAGAGGUAAAUUUGAAUCCCUCCUCCCCAAAUUAGAAAAAAAAAAAAAAAAAACUUUUACCAGAUAGAAAAAAAAAAGUGAUGUGUGUCUCAAAAAUGAAAUUCGUCGAUAAAAUAAGACUUUUAAUGAUGAAAAUUUUUUCCGUAGUUGAAGACUUGUUCUUUUAUAGUGAUAAGCUAGGGUUUUACUUUGAAUGCAACUAAAGGAUAGGGUACAUUAUUAGUAAGUGUCUUCACAUGAGUUUGAUAGAGCUAAGUUAGCUGAGACUUGGUAGUAUAAGCUUUGGUUACCAGCUAAUUAGUUGGCCUUAAUUUGGGUUAAGUGGUAGAGGGAAAUGAAUACAUUCUACUGUGAGGAAAAUGUACUUUCAAAUGUAAGGCAUGCCCCCUGGGGAUUUAUAUAUUUUGAAAUGUAGACAAAAUAAAUCUUACAAGAUUAACGAUAUAUAAUUAAAGAGACUUCCAUAAUCGAACAUCCCCAAGCAAAUAUGAGAAAUUUGCAGCCAAAUCUUUGUCAUAUAUGCACUGAUCAGGAUAAAAUAUUAAAAUCAUUAACCCCCCAC
rnacentral:lncRNA from 1 species